ensembl:lncRNA
AUUUAGUAGGAAAACCUAUUAUCUGAUCCACACUCCGGGACAGAAGAGGGCGGUAUUGCACCAAUAAGCUGGAUGCCAACCGCCGUUAAACUGGAAAGAAGUUACAAUGAGGAACAGAUUAUGUUUGUCUGCUGUAGAGUGACUGAAGAAGGAAUGCUGCCAUCAAAGGAUUUGUAUCUUUUGUGGUGGAGCAGGACCUGCAAGGAAAGGGGAAAAAAAGGAAAAACCUGAAACAAAAGAAUAAAGUAGUGGUGCUCAUGGAGAGCAGCACACGAUUGUUUGGAGCAGACACAGCAGCAGUCAGAUUGUCCUGCAUGUGUUCUUCUGCUCUCGCUUCAAGGUUGUGUGGUGAGAGCCGACAUCAUGGUCUUCCUUACCUGUUGCUCAACGACAUCCCCGUUGAGAAGAGUGAGAUUGUGAAGCACAGCGCAGCAGAACUGUCUCAGCUGUGUUGAGAUGAUAGUAAGAUGUGGGGUUCACCAUCUGUAAAUACAUGAUUGUUAGAACAGUAAGUUUGAAUGAAGCUUUGUUUCAUGUGUUGUUGACUUGUACAUGUAUGCAUUUAUUGUGAUGCCAACAUUUAUACAUUCUUUUAAUCAUUUAGACAUGUUUCUUGUUGUCAGUAAAUAAAAUAUAAAUAUUUGAUCUAUUCAUGUAUUAAUUGCUUGACUGAAAACUGAUGUAUUCACAUCAACUGCAUUAGUGUAUAUUCAUGUAUAGCUAUGUCACGACAGAAAAUACAUUUUGCUUCUUUUACUAAAAUGUAAUUUUAAG